AGUGAUUUGAUGGUUUUCCAAAAUCCAAUAGGAUUAUUUUGAUUUUGUGAUAUAUCAUUUAGAUAAUAUUCAGAUUUUGAUCAACGUAUAAGAGCUGUACAUUUGUUUUUCAAUAUUCUAAAUGCUACCCAAUCUCUUUCUAUAUCCGAUUUCCUCGCUGUGGCCCAAGCUAAGUUUCUUUCAUGAAGAAGUUCAGAUAAUUUGUUUGAGAACCAUGGAUUAUCACAGCCUUUUACUCUGAAUUUCUUAACAGGUGCAUGCAUAUUCGAGGAGCGUCUCGCUGCAGCCUGCGGUGGACAUCCAACCCGGCCCACAUCCAAGUGUGACGUCACAGACCACGCCCAUGUCAAAAUACGUCACAUUCUCAUUCAUUUUGAAACAGGAAGAAGCAUCGAUAAGAAGAUAAUUUGUAUUGUUUGCCAACCGCUAAAAAAGAAGCUGUUGUUUGCCGUGUCGCAUUCUACACAUUUUCAGUCCAAGCCUGAUGCAGAGCAGUUCUCCCGGGUUAAGGGGUCCCUGCUGCAGUUUCACCAGUAAAGAAAAUUACUUGUUACAGUUCACUUGAAGGACCACAUAAGCCAUGCAGUGGUGCAUGGAGGUAUGGUGAGAGCAUUUCUUUAGAUAUUGAUUGAUUUUUGUGGUUUAAAAUCAUAAAUAUGUUUAUGUAGAAUGAUGAGGUAAAUAAUUUUUAGUGGACACAUAUACCCCCAACACGUAUGUAUUCUCUAUUUUUAACAGGAGCGCCAAGAGGACAUAAAGUGGAAGUUUGUAAGGGACAUUGGUCCAGCGUGGUACAGAGUCAUCGUGGGUUAUUCUGUGGGGAGUGACGAGGGCCUGCCGUUCUCCAGAUGGACAGUAAAAAUCAACAGAAUGCCAUCAAAGACUACCUGGAGGGAGAAUCGGAGGAUAUAUUAAAGCAAGGAAUCUCUCUGUGUAGUCUAUGUAUGUAUGUGUGUGUACUGCAUGUCAAGAACUGUUUAUCUGAUCAUUCAGCUGCUCAGACUGUAUAAUAUUUGGAGCAUACCUUUUGUUAAACAACCAGUCAAAAGUUUUUGAACAGUGACAUUUUUUUAAUGUUUUUAAAGAAAUAUCUUCUGCUCAUCAAGCCUGCAUUUAUUUAAUCCGAAGUACAGCAAAAACAGUCCAAUUUUAAAAUAUUUGUAUAAUAUUUUGCUAUUUAAAAUAACAAUUUUCUAUAUUUCUAUUAAAAUGAAAUUUAUUCCUGUGAUUUCAAAGGUGACUUACUCCAGUCACAUGAUCCUUCAUUCUAAUAUGCUGAUUUGAUGCUCAAAAAACAUUUUAUUAUUAUUAUGUUAAUACACUGAAGACUGGAGUAAUGAUGAAGAAAAUUCAGCUUUGAUCACAGGAAUAAACUGCAUUUUAAAAUACAUUCAAAUAGAAAGCAGUUCUUUUAAAUUGUAAAAAUAUUUCACAUUACUGUUUUUGCUGUGUUUUGGAUCAAAUAAAUGCUGGCUUGGUGAGCAGAAGAGACUUUAAAAAAUAAUAAAAAUCUUACUGUUCAAAAACUGGUGGUGUAUAUUAUUAUUAUUAUUAUUUUUAUUUUUUUUUGUAAAAUUGAACAAAGGGUGCCAGAAGUCUGGUAUC
rnacentral:lncRNA from 1 species